UACGUAGGGGGCAAGCGUUGUCCGGAUUUAUUGGGCGUAAAGAGCGUGUAGGCGGCCAUACAGGUCCGUUGUGAAAACUGGAGGCUUAACCUCCAGACGUCGAUGGAAACCGUAUGGCUAGAGUCCGGAAGAGGCGAGUGGAACUCCUGGUGUAGCGGUGGAAUGCGCAGAUAUCAGGAAGAACACCGACGGCGAAGGCAGCUCGCUGGGACGGUACUGACGCUGAGGCGCGAAAGCAUGGGGAGCGAACAGG
rnacentral:rRNA from 1 species